ensembl:lncRNA
UUCCACAGUGUGAGUUGUUUCACUGUGCCCUUCCCAGUAGAUUGCUAGAAGCCUCUGAAGUUAUGAGUUGAAACAAAUCAUUUCUCCCUCAGGUUGUGUCUGUCACGUAUCUAUAACAGCAAUGAGAAAAGCAUGUAUCUUGAAUUCAGCUCACUCCACUCCACUCAACAGAUGUAUGUUGAAAACCCAAGUGCUUCCGUGCUAUGGCGGGUUAAGAGUUUACCUCGGAGUCCUGUUUAUCCAAGGCCUCACUGUCAAGAUGGUGUCUCCCAGGAUUCUCCAAACACACAUAUGCUCUGAGGAUACACUUCUGUUCGAAAUCAUAAAAUGCCUGGCACGCUGGCUAGAUAAGCGGACAGUAUUCUGUGCUCAUGGAAGACUCAGGCAGGACAGCUGAGAGAGAAGCCAGCAGGCACCUAUGAACUGUCCCUGGAAAAUGCUGGUGACUCAAGACAGAGGGAGGGGCCAGAGCAUCUAUCACACUAACUGCGUCAAAUCAUCUUGAAGAAACACGUGUCAGCCUGUGUAUGUUCUUAGAAUGAAUGUUUUGAAGAUAUUGUGAAACUGGAAGUUACUUAACCAGAGUUCUCGUCUGAAGAAUAUCUGGCCACCUUGGGAGAGACUGCCUUUACACUCUGCAAAUUACCAAUGUAGAUAAGAGGCAGUGUGGUCUAUUGGUUAAGAGGUCUGACCACCUGAGCGUGAACAAAAACUUUAACACUCACUCCUUCUGUGGCAUUGGGAUAGUUGCUUGGCCUGGGUCCUUACUUAUGAAGCAGUAAGCAUAAAACUGUGGUGACGGGGAACUGAGAUUCCAUGUAGGAUGCUCAGCGUGCUGACUGGCAUAUCAAAGCAAAGGUUAACUAGAAUCUGGAUGAUGUGGUAACAGUAUCUUAUCACCGAUAAAAAGAUACAUACAAUUGGGGAAGUUGAGUUAUCAUUAAAAGCAUGGUGUAAGCCAGUCAGAAGAAGCACAAUAUGUAUGAUUCUGCUAAUACGUGAGAUAUGUAGAGAGGUCAAAUAGAAAAAAAUGGAAACUAGAGAGGUGUUUGCUGAUGGUCAGGAGAAAGGGGUAAGGAGCUGUUGUUACACGGGUACCUAAUUCUGUCUUGCAAGAUGGAAGAGAUGGGUUAGUGAUCACUUUCACAACACCAUGAGCACAUUGAACACGAGUAACUAUGUUUUAAAUGAGCAAGGUUAUGUCGUGUGAAAAUAAUUUUUUUAUGAUUUAUUUUUAUUUAUAUUACUACAUUGUAGCUGUCUUCAUACACACACCAGAAGAGUGCAUCAGAUUCCAUUACAGAUGGUUGUGAGUCACCAUGUGGUUGCUGGGAAUUGAACUCAGGAUCUCUGGAAGAGCAGACAGUGCUCUUAACUACUGAGCCACCUCUCCAGCCCAGGAAAAUAAUUUUGUUUUCAUUUUGAGAUAAACUCCUGAUGUAGCCCAGGCUGGCCUCAAACUUACCAUCCUCUUGCCUCUGCCUCCCAAAUUCUUGGAUUACAUUACAGGUGUCACCACACUAGUCUAAAACACUUUGUUUCUAAUUGUGGUAAAAAGCACACAGCAAAAUGGGAACAUGGUAGCACAUAGAUGUAACCCCAGCUUGCUUAUCAGGAGAUAAAGAUGGGAAGAUUGUAAAUUUGAAAGUCGUCUGGCUACAGAGACUUUCGAAAUUAAAGCUAAGUAACUAAUAAAAUCUUAUUUUUCUUGAAAACUGAGUUGUUU